GGCCCAUGCGUUUUCCCAAGGCCGUCACUUGCUUUUCUAGCUCAUUAAUCAUCUUUGUUGCUUUUCUCUGAAUUUUCUGAGCUGUUCAACGGUUUCCUGGACGGAGGAACACAGCACAGCUGCUACUUUCACAGACGUAGUACAGAAGAGGGCUCUUCUGUCUGGUCACAAAAUAGUCCCUCUCUCCAAAACACGUCCUGGGCGACUGCACCUGGGCUGCGUGGAAACGCUAUGAGCUUCCAGGGAACUCUAUGUAACCUCAAUCCUGUGAGGAUGGCCACUGAAGAAAUGGAGGCCCUGGGAAAAUAAACAGCCUCUCCAAGGACCCAGGACCAGCAAGGGGAAGGUUCCCAGUUCUGCUCCAGGCAGAGGUUGCCAAUUAGUGAAAGCAUAUUCGGACGGCAGGUUUCUUGUCUUGUGCUGACCGCUUACCUUGGUAUGGCCUGUGACAGUCUCCAAGACACUUUCACUCGCACGGUCCCACGAGAACCUUGCAAGGUUCCUGCAAGGGAGGCAUGAGAACCAAACGGACCCAGGGAGGAUGAGUAAGCAGCAUGGCCAGCACUUGCACAGGUGUCUUUUCCAGUCACUCCUCUUUGUGGGGACCCUUGAUGCCAGCGAUAUACUACACGACCCAGGCUCUCUCCCAUCCAUUUGGAGCAAAGACCUCUGCAUGGGGUUUUCAGAUGUAGGCAGGUCUCUGCCCCGUGGCCCAGCUUUUGGUGAAUAUCCUCAAACGUGUCUAAAACUCAUCUCAACAUUCCCCCCUGCCCCCAGCUGCUCUUCUCGCCCCAUUCCUGAGUUCUGUGAGUUGCCCAGCCAGAAACCGGGGUGCCAGGCUUGACUCCUCCCUCACCCCUGCCCAAAGGCCCACGAAUGGUGCCUCCUAGUAGCUCUAGAAUUGAUCCCCCUGCCUGUACUCUAGCUCAAGCCACCGUUAUAUCUUCUCCAGACAACUGCAGUAGCGUCCUAAUGGAUGUAGUGACCUGAAUGGUGGCCCUCAAAUCUCAGGCCCCCAUCCUUGGAACCUGUAAUGUUACCUUAUAUGGGAAAGUUCUUGCAGAUGUGAUUAAGGACUUAAAAAAAUUAAAUUGGGGUAAAAUACACAAUAUAAUAUUUACCAUUUUAGUCAUUUUUAAGUGUACAGUUCAGUGGCAUUGAAUGCAUUCGUGUCAUUGUGCAACCAUCAGCACCAUCCAUCUCCGGAACUCUUCAUUUUGCAAGCCUGAAAUUCUGUACCCUUUAAACUUCCCAUUUGUCCCCAAUCCCUGCUCCAAAGCCCAGUGACCACCAUUCUGCUUUCUAUCUCUAUGAAUUUGGCUACUCUAGGGACCUCAUAUAAGUGGAAUCAUACGGUAUUUGUGCUUUUGUGACUGGCUUAUUUCACUUAGCAUAAUGUCUUCAAGGUUCAUCCAUGUUGUAGCAUGUGUCAGCAUUUCCUUCCUUUUAUAGGCUGAAUAAUAUUCCAUUGUAUGGAUACACCACGUUUUGUUUAUGUGUUCAUCCAUCCAUCCAUUUAUGUACGGACACUUGGGUUGCUUCCAUCUCUGGCUAUUGUGAAUAAUGCUGCUAUGAACAUGGGAGUACAAAAGUAUGUCCAAGUCCCCACUUUCAAUUCUUUUGGGUAUAUGCCCAGAAGUGGAAUUGAUGGAUCUUAUGGUAAUGCUGUGUUCAAUUUUUUGAGGAACCUCCAUACUGUUUUCCAUAGUGACUGCACCAUUUUACAUUCCCACCAAUAAUACAGUAGAGUUUAAAAGGAUUUUAAGAUGAGGAGAUUAUCCUAGACUGUCCCAAUGGACCCUAAAUGCCAUCACAAGUGUCUUUAUAGGGAAAAGGCAGAGGGAGAUUAGAAACAUAGGGAAGGUGAUAUGAAGGUGAAGGCAGAGACUGGAGUGAUGGGGCUAUAAGCCAAUGAAUGCUGGCAGCCACCAGAAACUGGAAGAGGCAAGGAGUGGAUUCCCCAGUAGAGCCUCUGGAGAGAGCACAGCCCUCCCGCCACCUUGAUUUCAGCCCACUGCGACUGAUUUCAAACUUCUGUCCUCCAGCACUGUGAAAGAAUAA
ensembl:lncRNA